rfam:Aedes albopictus isolate Foshan contig168230, whole genome shotgun sequence.
CAAACGGUCCUGUUCAGGACCACCGUUAAUUAUUCCUUAAGAGUUUGU